rnacentral:lncRNA from 1 species
GCCCUGUCCUGGCCCCUUGGGGUUGACCUCUCUGACUCAGUCCACUGCUGUGUAACUAAGACUGGGGUGGCAAGGUUUCUCCAGUAAUGGCACACGAUACAAGUGUCAUCUCCUAGCUCUCUGCUUUCUGCUCCUUGGUGGUGCUUUUCAAGGUGAAGUUCCACAAACUCUGUAGCAUACAGAACACAAUUUGUUGUAAUGUCCUGUAAGCAUGAUGCCAUCUGGUCAAAAGUUAGCUGUUAUGUCACCAUGAAAAUAAAAUGGAUUCCUUAGAGCCAAAUUAAGUGGUACUCUUGAGGCAUUAUAAAUAGAGACAGCACAAUCUUCUAUUUGAAAUACAUAAUGCAUAGGGCUGUCAUCAUGGCCCCUUCUUGGGUUUAUUUGUGUUGUGCGCUUGUUUGUGGUUGUUUCUCCCAUGCUAGAACCAUGCUUGGCAUUAGGUUUCCCUGGUUAUCUCUCGUUUCAGAACUGUUCCACAGACAAGUGCUUUGAUGGCCCUGUCCGUGGCCUUGCAGAUGAGAACUCAUGUUCACAUUUGGCCCAGGACACAGUGAUAACUGCUUUGUCUCCUUCUGACUUUCAUAAACUGGAUGAAUGCUUUAGAUGGACACUGCAGUGGGGUCCACCUCUGCUUCUCUGCCUGGUUAGGAGGAAAUGGAAAGGAAAUGCAAAACAGGAAGCUGAUCGUAUUGCCU